AAUAAUCCUGUAGUCGAAAAUGUUGUCUCUCUUGAGUGGAUCCUGAGUACGACGGAGCACGUGAAAUUCCGUCGGAAUCUGGGAGGACCAUCUCCUAAGGCUAAAUACUCUCUAGUGACCGAUAGUGAACCAGUACCGUGAGGGAAAGGUGAAAAGCACCCCGGAAGGGGAGUGAAAUAGAACCUGAAACCGUGUGCUUACAAGUAGUCAGAGCCCGUUAAUGGGUGAUGGCGUGCCUUUUGUAGAAUGAACCGGCGAGUUACGAUUUGAUGCAAGGUUAAGCAGUAAAUGUGGAGCCGUAGCGAAAGCGAGUCUGAAUAGGGCGUUUAGUAUUUGGUCGUAGACCCGAAACCAGGUGAUCUACCCUUGGUCAGGUUGAAGUUCAGGUAACACUGAAUGGAGGACCGAACCGACUUACGUUGAAAAGUGAGCGGAUGAACUGAGGGUAGCGGAGAAAUUCCAAUCGAACCUGGAGAUAGCUGGUUCUCUCCGAAAUAGCUUUAGGGCUAGCCUCAAGUGAUGAUUAUUGGAGGUAGAGCACUGUUUGGACGAGGGGCCCCUCUCGGGUUACCGAAUUCAGACAAACUCCGAAUGCCAAUUAAUUUAACUUGGGAGUCAGAACAUGGGUGAUAAGGUCCGUGUUCGAAAGGGAAACAGCCCAGACCACCAGCUAAGGUCCCAAAAUAUAUGUUAAGUGGAAAAGGAUGUGGCGUUGCCCAGACAACUAGGAUGUUGGCUUAGAAGCAGCCAUCAUUUAAAGAGUGCGUAAUAGCUCACUAGUCGAGUGACACUGCGCCGAAAAUGUACCGGGGCUAAACAU
rnacentral:rRNA from 1 species